rnacentral:rRNA from 1 species
UGUUGUUUUCUCGAAAAUCAAUUAAAAAAGGCAGGAUUUUGUGUUGUAUUGACUUUAUCAGCUUUCUGCACUCUUUUCUUGUCUUUUUUAAUGCACUUUUCGUUUAACAGGUCAACAUCAAUUUCUUUUGUUGUAAAAGGGUCAUUGGAAGGUGGCUUUCUUUUCGGAGAAAGUGUUUAUAGCCUUUGGCCUCUGCAAUCGGAGAGAUUGAGGUCUGCAGCGUAGAUCCUUCGGGGUUAGAUACAUUUGUGCUAAGUUAUAGCCUUUCAUAGACAACUUGUUGACUAUGAUCAGUCAUGUAGCUUACUCGCUUAUGCUAUUUUACCUAC